AGCAGCCGCGGUAAUUCCAGCUCCAAUAGCGUAUAUUAAAGUUGUUGCAGUUAAAAAGCUCGUAGUUGAAUUUCGAGACCGGCUUACUGGUCGUGCUAUUGUACGUACUGGUAUAAUCGGUUUCUCCUUUCUGACGAACUAUAAUGCCAUUAAUUUGGUGUUAUAGGGAAUCAGGACUGUUACUUUGAAAAAAUUAGAGUGUUUAAAGCAGGCUCACGCUUGAAUACAUUAGCAUGGAAUAACGGAAUAGGACGUUUGAUUCUAUUUUGUUGGUUUCUAGGAUCGACGUAAUGAUUAAUAGGGAUAGUUGGGGGCAUUAGUAUUCAAUUGUCAGAGGUGAAAUUCUUGGAUUUAUUGAAGACUAACUACUGCGAAAGCAUUUGCCAAGGAUGUUUUCAUUAAUCAAGAACGAAAGUUAGGGGAUCGAAGACGAUCAGAUACCGUCGUAGUCUUAACCAUAAACUAUGCCGACUAGGGAUCGGAUGAUGUUAAUUUUUAAUGUACUCAUUCGGCGCCUUAC
rnacentral:rRNA from 1 species